rnacentral:rRNA from 1 species
UCUGGUGCCAGCAGCCGCGGUAAUUCCAGCUCCAAUAGCGUAUAUUAAAGUUGUUGCAGUUAAAAAGCUCGUAGUUGGAUCUGUGGCGUGUGGCGUGUUCCGGGCACUUGUUGUCCGAGCAGCAUGCUGCUGCCAUCCUUGCGGGGAACCUGUGUGGCAUAAGGUUGUCGUGCAGGGGAUGCCCAUCCUUUACUGUGAAAAAAUUAGAGUGUUCAAAGCUGGCUUAUGCCGUUGAAUAUAUUAGCAUGCAAUAAUGAGAUAGGACUUUUUCGCUAUUUUGUUGGUUUGCGCGAAGAGGUAGUGAUUAAUAGGGACAGUUGGGGGUAUUCGUAUUCCAUUG